GAUUAUAUAGGGAUUAAAUUGAACAUAUCAUACUUUUACAUAAUAUUAAUAAUUUAAAUCAAUCAAUCAUGGAUUCUAGCCUAAAUCAUUCUAUUAGGGACUUAAUUAAACAAAAUUAAACAUUAAAAAAAGUUUGGGAAUUGAUUAGGGACUAAUUUGAAUAAGAUAUAAAAUUUUGGGUCAAAACAUGAUUUUUGCAAAAUAGGGGAAAAAUUAUAAAAUUUAAAAAAAAUGGGCAAAACUAUAAAAUAAAAAAUAGGGGUAAAACUAUAAAAUUAAAAAAUAAAGGCAAAACUGUAAAAUCUAAAAAAUAGUGGCAAAAUUGUAAAAUCUGAA
rnacentral:lncRNA from 1 species